rnacentral:rRNA from 1 species
AUUGAACGCUGGCGGCAGGCUUAACACAUGCAAGUCGAGCGGAGUGAUGGUGCUUGCACUAUCACUUAGCGGCGGACGGGUGAGUAAUGCUUAGGAAUCUGCCUAUUAGUGGGGGACAACAUCUCGAAAGGGAUGCUAAUACCGCAUACGUCCUACGGGAGAAAGCAGGGGAUCACUUGUGACCUUGCGCUAAUAGAUGAGCCUAAGGCGGAUUAGCUAGUUGGUGGGGUAAAGGCCUACCAAGGCGACGAUCUGUAGCGGGUCUGAGAGGAUGAUCCGCCACACUGGGACAGAGACACCGCCCAGACUCCUACGGGAGGCAGCAGUGGGGAAUAUUGGACAAUGGGGGGAACCCUGAUCCAGCCAUGCCGCGUGUGUGAAGAAGGCCUUAUGGUUGUAAAGCACUUUAAGCGAGGAGGAGGCUCUUUUGGUUAAUACCCAAGAUGAGUGGACGUUACUCGCAGAAUAAGCACCGGCUAACUCUGUGCCAGCCGCCGCGGUAAAAC